CCUACGGGUGGCUGCAGUGAGGAAUAUUGGUCAAUGGCCGGAAGGCUGAACCAGCCAAGUCGCGUGAGGGAAUAAGGCCCUAUGGGUCGUAAACCUCUUUUGUCAGGGAGCAAAGGCGUCCACGAGUGGACGAAAGGAGAGUACCUGAAGAAAAAGCAUCGGCUAAUUCCGUGCCAGCAGCCGCGGUAAUACGGAAGGCCCGAGCGUUAUCCGGAUUCAUUGGGCUUAAAGGGAGCGUAGGCGGGCGUUCAAGUCAGCUGUAAAAUCGCGCGGCUCAACCGCGCCCCGCAGUUGAAACUGGACGCCUUGAGUUCACAACAGGCAGGCGGAAUUCGUGGUGUAGCGGUGAAAUGCAUAGAUAUCACGAGGAACCCCGAUUGCGAAGGCAGCCUGCCGGGGUGCGACUGACGCUGAGGCUCGAAGGUGCGGGUAUCAAACAGGAUUAGAUACCCGAGUAGUC
rnacentral:rRNA from 1 species